GGGGAAUAUUGGGCAAUGGGCGCAAGCCUGACCCAGCGACGCCGCGUGAAGGAAGAAGGCUUUCGGGUUGUAAACUUCUUUUAUGAGGGACGAAAAAAAUGACGGUACCUCAUGAAUAAGCCACGGCUAACUACGUGCCAGCAGCCGCGGUAAUACGUAGGUGGCAAGCGUUAUCCGGAUUUACUGGGUGUAAAGGGCGUGUAGGCGGGACUGUAAGUCAGGCGUGAAAAUUAUGGGCUCAACCCAUAACCUGCGUUUGAAACUAUAGUUCUUGAGUGUCGGAGAGGCAAUCGGAAUUCCGUGUGUAGCGGUGAAAUGCGUAGAUAUACGGAGGAACACCAGUGGCGAAGGCGGAUUGCUGGACGAUAACUGACGCUGAGGCGCGAAAGCGUGGGGAGCAAAC
rnacentral:rRNA from 1 species